rnacentral:misc_RNA from 1 species
ACGAUGCGCCAGCUCAACGGAACGAGUGUUUUAGGCUCAUCGCUUCACCAGUCACCACCCUGACAGAGACCACCGCUGUCAAGCAUGCUGGGUGCACCAAGUCCGGCAGCAGGCGAAUUCAGACGCCGUCUUGCACUGCGUGAGAGGUGAAGGGCGGACUAGGCAGCAGAGGCACUAGCCGGCCGAAGAUCCUGGCAGCCCUCUCCGCGCCGAGGAGCAGCACAAGCCGCAAGAAAUUUCAAAAAACUCGGAAGACAGGGCUGUCCGUCGGGUGGCCCGAUGAUCGGCCGUACAAAGAGAAGGCGAUGAUGAAAUUGCUCACAGGGGCGGAAGCUUGCCACGCGGGAAGACGACACGCCACGGAGCUGCAUUUUCUUCUGCUAGAGUGCAUGCUGAUGCAGCUGUGUUGCACGUGCACACGGGCAGGCACUUAGUCAGCUUGGCUGUCUUGAUCAUGCGCAUACGAUGCGCACGACGAGAACACACCCGGCCGACACAUACUUCAUCAUGUCGGCACACGGACGGUAUGUCAGCCCGGGUGUGCAGAAGCAGGGCAGGAGGAAGACGGCGGGGCGGCACUGCUCCCCCUCCCUUCAUCGCCGAACCGGCAAACUCAUCCCCUAGCCACACUGGUUCUGCGGUUGCUGUAGAGCCGAUGGUGGGUCAUUGCCCCCCCCUCGCCGCGUGUAGCCGCACGGAUGGAAGACAGCACGAAUGACCUCUCUGCCUUCACAGAUGCCUCGAGAGCGGGAUGACAGGGAAGGAAUACGGGAGAGGUGGCAUGAAGGCGAUGCCUUGGUGGUGGGGGUGGGCUGGGCGGAUCAUCUGUGAAGGCGAGACACACCCACGCAUGUCGCCAGAGGAGCAGGUAGGGCAACGGAUUCGGAGUCACGGCAGAGGGUCGAAGUGGCACUGCGAUGGCCAGGCUCCCCCCGUUGGUCUAGCUCCCCUCCCCACACCUGUGCACAAGCCACACACCAGCGCUGUGCUGUCGCCGACGUGAAUGUCCGUCGUUGUCGAUGAAGGCGCAUCAAGAAGCGAAGCAAAGAAAACGAGAGAAGUGUUAAGCAGGGCAUCAGAUGUCAUCGCACGUAGCAGUGGUCGCUUCUGGUAGUGGAUGUGUGAGCAGCGCAGCAGACGCCUCAGCUGGGGACGUGUGAGGGGGCAUCGACGGCGUACAGUGAUGUCCUGAAAUCAGUGGUGGACCGUACACUGGGUAAACUGCCAGUAGCACUGCUGCCGCCCCAUUGGCGCUUCUUCGCUGCCUACCGGUGUUGUUAUUGCUGCUCCCGUUGAAGUGAUGACUGUGGCCAUGGGCUGCCCCACUUCCCCACGCCCUCCUACCUCUUUCACUUGGACUCACGUCCUGCAUCCUCUGCCGUUAACGGGCUCGUGGGCAAACGCGCGCGGAGUGCGCUGCAUGAGCACACCCGCCCGGCUGACACACACACACACACAG